UAGGUGCCUAGCAAAGAGUAAAGUAAGUAUAUGUGCCUAGCUUGAUGACAAUCGUACAAAUGCCAGUACAUUGUGACGACAUAUUAUUACAACUGUGUCCGAAUCGUUUUAACUCCACACACGAUAAAUACCUACUUACAAACAAUAGGGAGCGCGCAAAACUGUAGGGGGCAGCACAUGAGACGUCAGAUUCUUGGCGCGAGGUCUAAAUGUGAAGUUUAUGCUUCCAAUGUAGCCCACAAGAUGGCAGAACCUACUAGGCACAAGAAAACGUACGAGAAUCGUAGAUGACAGCACUUUGGCCUGAAGUGACAAUGUACAUGUUUGUUUCCGAUUCAGGUCAACCUCCAACGCGCACGGUCCCGAUAUAAUAUUACUGUGAAUUAUUCGUCAUCAAAGUACGCGUCAAAAAAAGUACAGCCGAAGCCGCGUGCUUAACACGUGUAUUUGUUUACCUUCACACGAGGUUUAUAAAGCGCAACACGAUAUUAAAGUUAGUAAUAAAUAAAAGUCCUGCGAAAUGAAAGUACGAGCGGUCCUUCUUGUGGUCCUACUUGCCCUGUCUGCGACGUUCUCGGCAGCGCAAGUCUUCUCCUCGCGUCGCUCCAUGACAUGCGUCAACAACAAAUGUCAGUGCGUCGGUGACGGCUGCUGAGCGGCCAUUUUGUAUGCAAAACAAAAUGGCGGACGGCGUAUGAUUUUAUAUGUUUUAAUGUAACGAUUGGAAUACGAUUUGUUUUUUA